GGUCAGUGAUGCUUAAAAAUAUUUGCUACUCUUGAUGGGAAGCACCCAUUUGAUGAUUUUCAUCCACCAAGAUCUCUGAGGCC